AGGAUGAACGCUGGCGGCGUGCUUAACACAUGCAAGUCGAACGAUGAAGCCGGAGCUUGCUCUGGUGGAUUAGUGGCGAACGGGUGAGUAACACGUGAGUAACCUGCCCUUGACUCUGGGAUAAGCACUGGAAACGGUGUCUAAUACCGGAUACGAACUUCGACGGCAUCGUCAGGAGUUGGAAAGAAUUUCGGUCAAGGAUGGACUCGCGGCCUAUCAGCUAGUUGGUGAGGUAACGGCCCACCAAGGCGACGACGGGUAGCCGGCCUGAGAGGGUGACCGGCCACGACUGGGACUGAGACACGGCCCAGACUCCUACGGGAGGCAGCAGUGGGGAAUAUUGCACAAUGGGCGCAAGCCUGAUGCAGCAACGCCGCGUGAGGGACGACGGCCUUCGGGUUGUAACCUCUUUAGUAGGAAGAAGUCGAAAGUGACGGACUGCGAGAAAAGCACCGCUAACUACGUAGCCAGCAGCCGC
rnacentral:rRNA from 1 species